rnacentral:rRNA from 1 species
UUCCGGUUGAUCCUGCCGGACCCGACCGCUAUCGGGGUGGGGCUAAGCCAUGCGAGUCGUACGCCCGGGGACCGCCGGGCGUGGCGCACGGCUCAGUAACACGUGCCUAACCUACCCUCGGGAGGGGGAUAACCCCGGGAAACUGGGGCUAAUCCCCCAUAGGGGAAGGGUGCUGGAAGGCCCCUUCCCCGAAAGGGACCGCGGUCGAUCUACCGCGGUCCGCCCGAGGAUGGGGGCACGGCCCAUCAUGGUAGUUGGCGGGGUAAUGGCCCGCCAAGCCGAAGACGGGUGGGGGCCGUGAGAGCGGGAGCCCCGAGAUGGGCACUGAGACAAGGGCCCAGGCCCUACGGGGUGCAGCAGGCGCGAAAACUCCGCAAUGCGGGAAACCGUGACGGGGCCACCCCGAGUGCCGCCCGAAGAGGGCGGCUUUUGCCCGGUGCAAAAAGCCGGGCGAAUAAGCGGGGGGCAAGUCUGGUGUCAGCCGCCGCGGUAAUACCAGCCCCGCGAGUGGUCGGGGUGCUUACUGGGCCUAAAGCGCCCGUAGCCGGCCCGGUAAGUCGCCCCUGAAAUCCACGGGCUCAACCCGUGGGCUGGGGGCGAUACUACCGGGCUUGGGGGCGGGAGAGGCCGAGGGUACUCCCGGGGUAGGGGCGAAAUCCGAUAAUCCCGGGAGGACCACCAGUGGCGAAGGCGCUCGGCUGGAACGCGCCCGACGGUGAGGGGCGAAAGCUGGGGGAGCAAAGGGGAUUAGAUACCCCUGUAGUCCCAGCUGUAAACUAUGCGGGCUAGCUGUUGGGCGGGCUUAGAGCCCGCCCAGUGGCGGAGGGAAGCCGUUAAGCCCGCCGCCUGGGGAGUACGGCCGCAAGGCUGAAACUUAAAGGAAUUGGCGGGGGGGCACCACAAGGGGUGAAGCUUGCGGCUUAAUUGGAGUCAACGCCGGA